CGCUAUCAGACAAAACGAUGCAUUAAUUAUGCGUUACUAUUCCAACGAACAUGACAGCCUAAGUACUGAGGCGGGAAAUGAUGAAGGUCGCGGAAUAGCAGCCGAUACGAAAAACGCGUCGACAUGUUUUUUAGCAAUUGUAUGCUUUUUCGUCUGUAGUUGUCCGGUGUUGGUCCACAAUGGAAUAUGGUACGCUCGUAAAGACACGUUUAGCGACGAGACCCGUAUGCCUCUCUUGUUGUGGGCGCAGACGUUUCUCUCCAUGAAUUCGACAUUUAAUUGCGUGAUAUUCUUUUAUAAGACAACGGCGUUGCGUUGCGAGGGAAAGAAACUACUCAGACGUUGUGGCCUGUUAGUUGAAAAUACGAACGACGCAUCGGUUUGAUUAAAAAGAAACAGCAUACCAUGCUUCCUAUCACCUCUGUUCUAAUUAUGUGAGACCCGUGGAACAAAGUAUUAAAGAGGGAAAUUAUAGUGAACUUGCGCGCCGCCCUUGACAACUGCGUGAGGUCGAGGUGCACUAGAAUUGCAGGGCCGCAGGUGGCGCAAAAAAUGUUCCCCCUCUUUGACUUAUUGUAAUUAAGAAACUAAA